CCGAGAAUAUUCGACAAUGGGCGAAAGCCUGAUCGAGCGAUACCGCGUGGUGGAUGAAACGCUUCGGCGUGUAAACAUCUUUUAUGGAGGAGGAAGUUAUUGACGUUACUCCAUGAAUAAGGGGCUCCUAACUCUGUGCCAGCAGGAGCGGUAAUACAGAGGCCCCGAGCGUUACCCGGAAUCACUGGGCGUAAAGCGUGUGUAGGUGGUCACAUUAGUCGUCCGUUAAAACCCAGGGCUCAACCCCGGAGGUGCGGGCGAAACGGUACGACUAGAGGGCGUGAGAGGUACAUGGAACUCAUGGUGUAGGGGUGAAAUCCGUUGAUAUCAUGGGGAACACCGAAAGCGAAGGCAAUGUACUGGCGCGUUCCUGACACUGAAACACGAAAGCGUGGGUAGCGAACGGGAUUAGAUACCCCCGUAGUCC
rnacentral:rRNA from 1 species